rnacentral:hammerhead_ribozyme from 1 species
AUUCAGCUGACGAGUCCCGAAUAGGACGAAACGCGCCUCAAACUGGAU